rnacentral:tRNA from 1 species
UAUUAGAUGGCCGAAAGAAGGUAGUGGAAUUUUAAACCAUUUUAUAGUAAAUAGCACCUACUUCUAAUA